UGGGGAAUAUUGGACAAUGGGCGAAAGCCUGAUCCAGCCAUGCCGCGUGUGUGAAGAAGGUCUUCGGAUUGUAAAGCACUUUAAGUUGGGAGGAAGGGUUGUAGAUUAAUACUCUGCAAUUUUGACGUUACCGACAGAAUAAGCACCGGCUAACUCUGUGCCAGCAGCCGCGGUAAUACAGAGGGUGCAAGCGUUAAUAGGAAUUACUGGGCGUAAAGCGCGCGUAGGUGGUUUGUUAAGUUGGAUGUGAAAGCCCCGGGCUCAACCUGGGAACUGCAUCCAAAACUGGCAAGCUAGAGUACGGUAGAGGGUGGUGGAAUUUCCUGUGUAGCGGUGAAAUGCGUAGAUAUAGGAAGGAACACCAGUGGCGAAGGCGACCACCUGGACUGAUACUGACACUGAGGUGCGAAAGCGUGGGGAGCAAACA
rnacentral:rRNA from 1 species